UCUGUUAUUAACUAAUGACACUAAAUACUAUGAUGAUUUGUAUGAUUAUAUAUUUAGUCUAUAUGAUAACGUUUUAUUCAUUUUAUUACUUUUAUCAAAUGAAAAUAAUACAUACCAUGAUAAUACAUACCAUGAUAACAUGUACAAAAAAGACAACAAUAAUAGUGUAAAUGAAAAUGUGAUUGCUAAGGGGUUAGUAGUAGAAUUAAAAAAAGACCUGAACAUAAAAAAUUCAUUAUAUAAUAAGGUAAUAGUUCUUAAUAAAUAUUUUUAUGUUAAUAAAUUUUUUUAAGAUUAACUAUAAGUGAUGAUAUAUAUGAUUUACAUGAACUGCUUAAGAAAUAUUCAUCUGAAAAUAUAAAUAAAGAGAAUGAUUACCUGAUUUAUAAUAUUAUUGAAAACAAAACAGAUUUGGACAUAUUAAUAAGUAUAUUAAAUAGUAAAAAAAAAAAUAAUAGGUUUUGCCUGGUUAAAAAAAAACAUAGAUCUUAAUAUUUUAGUUAACUUAUACAAUUUAAAGGAUUACAACUAUCUUAUGAAAAAAGAAUUUUUUUCAGAAAUAUCCAAGCAACUGGUAUUGUUCCUUUUUUUUUUUAUUUUUUUUUCUAUAUACAAAAAAAAAUAAAAAAUAAAAAAUAAAAAAUAAAAAAUAAAAAAAUUGAACAUAUAAGCAUAUAAACAUGCAAAUAUAGUCGUAUGUAAAAAAAAAGAAAAAAAAAAAAAAAGAAAAAGUGUACAUCUUAAAACAUGUUACAUGUUCUACUAUAUUUUCCCCUUUUAGAAAUCAUACAAAAGCAGUGACAAGAAUUUAAAAAAAAAAAAAAAGAAAUACAUGUUUGUUGAAUUUAAGCAAUAUAUUUUAAAAAACAUAAAAUUAGAAUCUCUAGAUUGUUUAGAAAAAAAAUACGAAAUUAAAGAAGAACUUAUUUAUGAAUUUCUGAGUGAACAUAUAAUUCACGAUGUGGACAUAUAUGCCGAUUAUUUUAUAAAACAAAAUAUAGAUAUAAAUAAGUUAAUAAAAAACAUUUAUAGUAAGCUAGAAUAUGAUUACGAACACUUUAAACGCGAUUCUGGAAGUAACAUACAUCUUGCUAGCUUAAACAAGUUAAUAAGUUUGUGUUCACAUAUAAGUUUUACAGAUGUAGCCAAAGUUUGCGAAAAGUUUCACAAACAUUUCGAAAAAAUCGAAAUGCUAUAUUUUAAUUUUAAUAAUGAUAAAACAUAUAAAAAAAUAUACGAAAACAUCAAAAAGCUAAGACACACAAAAAAAAAAUGAUGAAUCAUUUAAAACAGGUAGUAAAAGAAUAAAUACCAUGAAAAUGAACCGAGUUAAUAGCA
ensembl:lncRNA